rnacentral:rRNA from 1 species
GGCCAGACUCCUACGGGAGGCAGCAGUAAGGAAUAUUGCGCAAUGGGCGAAAGCCUGACGCAGCGACGCCGCGUGAGGGAAGAAGGCCUUCGGGUUGUAAACCUCUUUCAGGAGGGACGAAGCUACUCGGGUGAAUAGCCCAGAGGGUGACGGUACCUCCAGAAGAAGCCCCGGCUAACUACGUGCCAGCAGCCGCGGUA